AAAAAAUCAAAGCAAAAGAACGCAGAAUCAUUCACGCAUCAACAACGCCUCUGUUUUCCUCUCUACUCUGUCUCGUCUGACGUCUCAACGCUAAAGCCUCUCCAGCUCUGUCUCGUUUUCCUCUAUCUCGUCUCAUAACAGUAUCACGUUUGCCUCUCUAGCUCAACAAACCCAUACCCACAAUAGAAGAACCAGACAACGGCGCAUCGUCGAAUCUCAAUCCAACUCGGUGGCGCCACCCUCUAGCUUCUUCUAUUCCAAUCCAACCUCAAAUCCACAUCCAAUCCAACUCAGCGGCGCUUCUUCCGUCUCUCUGCCCUUUUGUUCGAAGUUUCCAAAAAUCUCAGGUUGCUAGGAACAAAACCAAUCUAUUAUUCCUUUUGGUUCAUAGCAGGUUUUUCUGGCUAGGUUGAACAAUUUGGGUUUUUUUCUCUGGCUUGGCAGGAGUUGGAUAAUUUCUCUAGGAACUUAUUGAAAAACUUCACAAAGGUGAACUGUCAAAAGAUGAUUAUCCAUGUCUGAAUGACCCGAGUCAAACUUUUGAUGACAUCCUUUUGGUUUGUCUAGAUCUCUUAUUGAAUUUUGACCUUUAAACUGCAUUCUCUGAUUUUGUAUGCGAAAGAACCUCUCUCAAAGCUUGUGGUAAAAUUUCUGUAUAAAAUGUUGUGCUUGUAUCUCAUUCUUCUUAUUCUUAUCAUCUUUGUAUGAUAUAUCAAGCUUUCUGCUUGUUAUGCUCAAUCUUCUAUAAUUAUUCUAGAUGCUGCUGUAGUCAUUUCCAUAUUUAAAAUCAAUAUCCCAAAUUUCAAUAUAUCUCCUAUUCAGAAUUUGAUCAGCUGAAAUUUUCUAAAACUUGUACCAGAAUUGUUAGGAUCUAAAAGUUGAUUCUAUCAAGUCUUCCUUGGAAUUGAACGUGCUCAAUUACCUUUGUUUUCCAGUAGACAACAAGUUCAUGCUCUGUAGCAUACUAUUUUGUUUCUUCACAUGUCAAGGAUUUACAAUUAUCAUUGUCUAAAAUCUGAGACUGGCCACUGGUAAACUUGCUCUGUCAUGUUGUGUGUACUAUCUUUGGUUAGAGUAUUGCUAGUGUGUGUGUCAUUGAUUUAUUGAAAAAAAAGAAAGUGUGCAUGGCAUUGACAUAUGGAACAAAUGAGAGUACUUUAUUGACUAUUUCACCUGUGUCAUCACCUUUAAAAGCAGAUAAAUGAAUUUUCAAGUAGUACUGUCUUGUUAGGCUAAUCUUUAAGAAUCAUAUAUUAUGUGCAUAUGAAGUAAAAUCACAUCUCUUGAACCAUAUGGUAUAAAAAAUAUUACUCCUAUCACAAACUUAGUACACUGGCCUUUGCUUGGUUUAACUGGUGACUGCAAGGAUCAUAUCCUCUUCAUAAUUUUUUCUUUAAAGGUUUGACAGUUUGCUAAAUUUGGUAUUUGAAACAAUUAUACACUAACAGAAAUUCUUACAAUGAUAAGUUCCAAAGAAGGCAGGUAGAAUCCUCUUAUGGAUAAUAAUAGUGACCCAUUUCUCAAGCUCACAAUUAUAUAUAAAGCUCUCGUCCACAGGUCAAUCAGUUGAAAUUCACAAUGUGUCUACAAGACCCAAUUUUCCUCAAAAUUCUACUUCUUUUGCAUGGGGACAUCCUGAUGUGAUUCAGAAGCUCAGUGCAUGGUACCAGCCAAUUAGGAAUGGCUAAAGGCAAUUCCAUGUAGACACAAAAUGCUGAUCUUAAGAAUUGCAGUGACAGAAUGAAUGCUUGAAUCCAACACACUAAGAGUUCUUGGCAGAACAAUGACACGGGGUGACAACCUGUAGUGUCUCCACCCCUAUAGCAAAGGUCAUAUUGGUCUGCUAGAGUUGAUCACACUCAAUCCAAGUAUUCAAAAAAUGGGUAGUUGAAUGAUGCAAUCAUCCCAAACCCCCCACAAUGUUGGUGUUGAGAGUAAUGGGUGUUGAUGAAUUGAUGAUGAGUGAUGACUCAAAGAUUGUUUGUGAUAGUGAUGACCUCUCAGUCAUGACUCUGAUUUAAAUUCAAGUGAAAUGAGCUUAUGAGACACUCAAGAAGAGCAAGUGGUUCAUGGCAUACUUUGAGGAAAUGGAUAAACUGUCUACCAGGAGAUUAAUUCACCAUCAAUGCAGUGGCACUGCCCAGCAUCCCCGCCGGGGGGGGGUUGUUUCCUGGAGCCAUUGAUUGGUUCAUAUGGCAAACUUUGUCCAAUUCUUAAAGAUAUUAGUUUGGUUUAGCAAAAUUUGCUCUGGCGGGCAUUGUGUAAAAGAGUUCUUUAAAGCUUUUUAGUAAUAUUUGACACCCAUUUGGCAUUUUGCUGAAGGUAUUUUUCUCCCCUCUUAAAGCUGAAAAGUGAAAAACAAUUUUCAGUAUGUAAAGUGGAGAAUUCCAAGCUUUUAGUUUUCUAUAUGCACUAUUUUAUCCUUUAAUGAAAACAAGACUAAAUUAUGUUUUUGACCUUUAAA